rnacentral:RNase_P_RNA from 1 species
CGAAGCAGCACAGGUGGUCGCUCGCCUUACGGCGGGAGGAAAGUCCGAGCUCCAAAGGGCAAGGCGCUCUGUAACGCAGAGUCCCGGUGACGGGAAGGAAAGUGCCACAGAAAGGGAAACCACUCCGGCUUUUGCCGGAGAAAGGGUGAAAAGGCGUCCCGAUUUAUCGGGAGCUGUCUGUUAAAGGCAGCAGGUAAGAGCUCACCAGUGCCCCGGGUGACCGGGCGCUUGGUAAACCCCGCCUGGAGCAAGGCCAAAUAGGUUCCGCCUUGAGAGGGGCCCCCUCAAAUCCCCGUACUGCGGGGAGACGGAACGGGUUAGGCCGCAAGACCUCGUACAACACGGGGCACAGAUGAAUGACCACGCCCUGUAUAUCAGGGAACAGAACUCGGCUUAUGGGCUGCUUCGGCAG